rnacentral:rRNA from 1 species
UACCAGACUCCUACGGGAGGCAGCAGUGGGGGAUAUUGCACAAUGGGCGCAAGCCUUAUGCAGCGACGCCGCGUGAGCGAAGAAGUAUUUCGGUAUGUAAAGCUCUAUCAGCAGGGAAGAAAAUGACGGUACCUGACUAAGAAGCUCCGGCUAAAUACGUGCCAGCAGCCGCGGUAAUACGUAUGGAGCAAGCGUUAUCCGGAAUUACUGGGUGUAAAGGGAGCGUAGACGGCGGUGCAAGCCAGAUGUGAAAGCCCGGGGCUCAACCCCGGGACUGCAUUUGGAACUGUGCUGCUAGAGUGUCGGAGAGGCAGGCGGAAUUCCUAGUGUAGCGGUGAAAUGCGUAGAUAUUAGGAGGAACACCAGUGGCGAAGGCGGCCUGCUGGACGAUGACUGACGUUGAGGCUCGAAAGCGUGGGGAGCAAACAGGAUUAGAUACCCCGGUAAC